UACGGAGGGUGCAAGCGUUAUCCGGAUUUACUGGGUUUAAAGCGUGCGCAGGCGGUUUUGUAAGCCAGGUGUGAAAUCCCCGGGCUCAACCUGGGAAUGGCAUUUGGGACUGCAAGGCUGGAGUGCGGCAGAGGAGACUGGAAUUCCUGGUGUAGCAGUGAAAUGCGUAGAUAUCAGGAGGAACACCUGCGGUGUAGACGGCUUUCUGGACCAUUGUUGACGCUGAGACACGAAAGCGUGGGUAGCAAACAGG
rnacentral:rRNA from 1 species